rnacentral:sRNA from 1 species
ACUGGGCAUGGUGGUGCAUGCCUGUAAUCCUAGCAGCUCGGAAGGCUGAGGCAGGAGGACUGCAAGUUCAAAGCCGGCCUCAGC